rnacentral:lncRNA from 7 species
GCGCUGCUCCUGGCUGCCCGGGCCCGCCGACUUCGUCAAGUCGAGAUGCUCGUCGUCUCCCUCCCUCAGAACUUCCCUCGUCCUCAAACACAGGGAAGGAAGAACUUGGAGAAUGUUCCUGAGAGUUUGUGACAACGUUCAUGAAGACAAAGAAAAGACAGGAAAAAAUGUUUGUAGGUAUUUCUACCAGUCCAGUGCUUUCAAACAUCAGAUGUUCUACUGGCUCAUCAAUCCAGUUGAAGCUACUGGAGCAUGUAAAUGCCACUGCACCUGCUCCUCUGCUCAUUGCUAUAAGGAUGCUCUUCAGCAUAGCCUAAUAAAUAUUUUGGUCUCUCUAUUCUGAUGUUACUAAGGAGAAAAACUACUUCCUGCAGAAUCUUACUCCCCUAUCUACUCAUAUAGAUCCAGGUGAUGUAAAGAUCAUGGAUGUAACAAGUAAUAUUCUUUCAUAGCUUUGGAACUGAUCACAGGUCUCUUCUGAUUCAUAAAAUCAAAUCUUUCCACCUUGCCUACACUUACAAGACCUUUUAAGAAGCUUUUGAAAGGGAGUGAGAUGAAAUAACUUAAUGACUCUAACUUGCCUAAACUGUCAUAAUUAUCUCAUAUAAGCGAGCAAAAUGGUCAACAAUGAAGAAAAAUUGAAGUGUUUUCAGAAUC